UACGGAGGGUGCGAGCGUUGUCCGGAAUCACUGGGCGUAAAGGGCGCGUAGGUGGCGCGGGCAGUCAACGGUGAAAGUUCGGGGCUCAACCCUGAAUCGGCCGUCGAUACUCCCGGGCUUGAGCACUGUAGAGGCAGAUGGAAUUCCGGGUGUAGCGGUGGAAUGCGUAGAGAUCCGGAAGAACACCGGUGGCGAAGGCGGCCUGCUGGGACAGUGCUGACGCUGAGGCGCGACAGCGUGGGGAGCAAACAGG
rnacentral:rRNA from 1 species